rnacentral:tRNA from 1 species
AAAUAAGAAGCAAAAAAUUGCAUUUAGUUUCGACCUAAAAAUUUGAUUGAAUAAUCCUUAUUUU